UACGUAGGGUGCGAGCGUUGCCCGGAUUUAUUGGGCGUAAAGAGCUUGUAGGCGGUCUGUCGCGUCUGCUGUGAAAAUCCGGGGCUCAACCCCGGACUUGCAGUGGGUACGGGCAGACUAGAGUGUGGUAGGGGAGACUGGAAUUCCUGGUGUAGCGGUGAAAUGCGCAGAUAUCAGGAGGAACACCGAUGGCGAAGGCAGGUCUCUGGGCCACUACUGACGCUGAGAAGCGAAAGCAUGGGGAGCGAACAGG
rnacentral:rRNA from 1 species